rnacentral:rRNA from 1 species
UACAGAGGGGGCAAGCGUUGUUCGGAAUUACUGGGCGUAAAGGCGCGUAGGCGCCUGUUAAGUCGAACGUGAAAUCCCCGGGCUCAACCCGGGAACUGCGUCCGAUACUGGCAGGCUUGAAUCCGGGAGAGGGAUGCGGAAUUCCAGGUGUAGCGGUGAAAUGCGUAGAUAUCUGGAGGAACACCGGUGGCGAAGGCGGCGAUCC